rnacentral:lncRNA from 1 species
UUGUGUUCAGUUAUUACUUAUGUUUGAUUUAUUGCUGAUGAUAAUUACCUAGUGCAAUUUCUUGCAGUAAUUUUGAAUUAACUUUUGUGUUUCAUAUUGGCAAAUUGAAGUGUUUUGAAAAUCUGUUGAAACUCCUUUCUUACAUUUUUAAUGAUUUAUUAAAUUUGAUACUGUUUUUUAUUCUGAGUAUUGUAGUAAGUUAUGAAUCAUGGCUAGUUGUGUGUGUGUCAGCAUUUCAGAUAACUUUUGUUACAUUUAUGGGAAUUUGUGAUUAAGAAACAACAUUUUUAUUAGAAAAGUUUACCGUACCUACUCUGGAAUAAAACUGGGGGAUCAAAACAAACCAUUGACUCUAUAUAAAGUUUGUUUUAUUUGUGUAGAGAAUCUGAAAAGAUGGUCUAAAGGCAGAAAAAGCAUUCAGAUUUGAUAUGCCAAUAAUAGGAAGAGAGUCAAAACAUCAUUGUGAUAACUACUAUUUUUGCUCCUGUGAUAUUAUAAGAAAGCAAUUUUCUAUCCAAAUUUUCCAUCAGUUUUACAAUUUAUUACUCAUGGCCCAGAAAUUUCAAAAAUUUUCAUCUAUGUCAUUAAGGAAUUGGAAAAGAAAUAUUAAGGUUGAUGAAAUGUUAAUAUGAUGAAGAUUAUUGCUGGAUGCUGCAUUAUGAAAAUUUGGAAGCAGUACAUAAAGGUAAAAGAUGAUCUUCAGUAGCAAAUGAAAAAAAGAUUGCUAAGAUUUUUGACUAAGGUUAAAAUGUAAUUAAUCAAGUUUUACAGUUUUUUGUAAAUAAAUAUAUUCAGAAUUAGCUAUUCAUGAAUCAAAGUGACUAUAGAGGGUGUGAUGAUUUUUCAAUAUGGAGUCUGAAAGUAGUAUAAGAGAGAGAUACUGAAAAUAAAUAAUUGGUAGUUUUAUAGCGGCAACCCAUCGCUUCACUUGACGACCAUGCAGUAAUAUUAGUAAUCGGAGGAAAAAGCACUGGCUAAAAU